GCCAAUUAAAUACUAGAAUCAGGCGAAGGUAGAUGAGGUAAGAAUUUCAAGCGUAGCAUUGUAUAGAAUAAUGACACAUCAAAUAAGAAACUUGUACAGGAAUCCAAGAGUAUAGCUGCUUAGUUAAAUUCAGGGGGAAGCCAGGUUACAAGUUGGAACUUGAGAGACCACACUGUGACCUUGCACAGCUUCAUGCAGACCAGUAAAAUAUCUGAUUAUUGUGAAAGUAAAUAACGUGAUAGUGGAUAAACUCAUACUACUAGUUUAUCCACAAAACCCAGAGGGGAGAAGACUUAUUGUGGACAAUUAAUUGAUAAUAAACACGAGAGUUUUAUGCAUAUUCACAUAU